UGCCUAAGUCCUUGUAGUUGAGAAAUCUCUAAGAGGUGGAAGCAAAUACUGCACAUGCGUGUUGGUCCUGUGAGGGAAACCAGCUAGUGGAGAGGGAGAGGUUGAAGGAACAGAAAAAUGAGAAGACAACUCACUGGUAGAGUAACUUGGAAUAGAUAGAAAUGGGAUCCUGGGCACGUAUUAGUUGUGGGGAUAGGAGAAUGAAUCCUUUAUCUGUGACUCCUGAUGGGGUAAAAAAAAGAUUAUGGAUAAUCAUAAGCUCAGGUGUGAGGUAGGGCAGAGAGAAAAAGAAGGAAUUUGCACCUGAUGGCUUCUGUUUUCUCUGUAAAGUUGGUGACAGAGUUGUCAGUUUAGUGUAAGGCAUUCAGAUCUGAUGGAACAUUUGAGCAGUUUGAGAAUUGCUUCUGAAGGGAUUAGAAGAAGGGCUCACCUAUGCCUGCUGGGUCAGUGGAUCCUCACCUCUAAAAUGAGAUUAAGUACUGCUUCGUGAGGUAUCUCAGGGUUGAUUGAGGGGCAAAU
rnacentral:lncRNA from 10 species